rnacentral:rRNA from 1 species
UACGUAGGGGGCAAGCGUUAUCCGGAUUUACUGGGUGUAAAGGGAGCGUAGACGGCAUGGCAAGUCUGAAGUGAAAGCCCGGGGCUCAACCGCGGGACUGCUUUGGAAACUGUUAAGCUGGAGUGCAGGAGAGGUAAGUGGAAUUCCUAGUGUAGCGGUGAAAUGCGUAGAUAUUAGGAGGAACACCAGUGGCGAAGGCGGCUUACUGGACGAUUACUGACGCUGAGGCUCGAAGGUGCGGGUAUCGAACAGG